AUUGAACGCUGGCGGUAUGCUUAACACAUGCAAGUCGAACGGCAGCACGGGUGCUUGCACCUGGUGGCGAGUGGCGAACGGGUGAGUAAUACAUCGGAACGUGCCCAGUUGUGGGGGAUAGCCCGGCGAAAGCCGGAUUAAUACCGCAUACGAUCUCUGGAUGAAAGCGGGGGACCUUCGGGCCUCGCGCAGCUGGAGCGGCCGAUGGCAGAUUAGCUAGUUGGUGAGGUAAUGGCUCACCAAGGCGACGAUCCGUAGCUGGUCUGAGAGGACGGCCAGCCACACUGGGACUGAGACACGGCCCAGACUCCUACGGGAGGCAGCAGUGGGGAAUUUUGGACAAUGGGGGAAACCCUGAUCCAGCCAUUCCGCGUGUGCGACGAAGGCCUUAGGGUUGUAAAGCACUUUUGGCAGGGAAGAAACGUCAUCAGAUAAUACCUGGUGAAACUGACGGUACCUGCAGAAUAAGCACCGGCUAACUACGUGCCAGCCGCC
rnacentral:rRNA from 1 species